rnacentral:rRNA from 1 species
GACGAACGCUGGCGGCGUGCUUAACACAUGCAAGUCGAACGGAAAGGCCCUGCUUUUGUGGGGUGCUCGAGUGGCGAACGGGUGAGUAACACGUGAGUAACCUGCCCUUGACUUUGGGAUAACUUCAGGAAACUGGGGCUAAUACCGGAUAGGAGCUCCUGCUGCAUGGUGGGGGUUGGAAAGUUUCGGCGGUUGGGGCUGGACUCGCGGCUUAUCAGCUUGUUGGUGGGGUAGUGGCUUACCAAGGCUUUGACGGGUAGCCGGCCUGGGAGGGUGACCGGCGACAUUGGGACUGCGAUACGGACCAGAAUCCUACGGGAGGCAGCAGUGGGGAAUAUUGCGCAGUGGGCGGAAGCCUGAUGCAGCAACGCCGCGUGCGGGAUGACGGCCUUCGGGUUGUAAACCGCUUUCGACUGUGACGAAGCGUGAGUGACGGUAAUUGGUAAAGAAGCACCGGCUAACUACGUG